rnacentral:rRNA from 1 species
GAUGAACGCUGGCGGCGUGCCUAAUACAUGCAAGUCGAGCGAACAGAUGAGGAGCUUGCUCCUCUGACGUUAGCGGCGGACGGGUGAGUAACACGUGGAUAACCUACCUAUAAGACUGGGAUAACUUCGGGAAACCGGAGCUAAUACCGGAUAAUAUACUGAACCGCAUGGUUCAAUAGUGAAAGACGGUUUUGCUGUCACUUAUAGAUGGAUCCGCGCCGCAUUAGCUAGUUGGUAAGGUAACGGCUUACCAAGGCAACGAUGCGUAGCCGACCUGAGAGGGUGAUCGGCCACACUGGAACUGAGACACGGUCCAGACUCCUACGGGAGGCAGCAGUAGGGAAUCUUCCGCAAUGGGCGAAAGCUUGACGGAGCAACGCCGCGUGAGUGAUGAAGGUCUUCGGAUCGUAAAACUCUGUUAUUAGGGUAGAACAAAUGUGUAAGUAACUAUGCACGUCUUGACGGUACCUAAUCAGAAAGCCACGGCUAACUACGUG